rnacentral:lncRNA from 1 species
GAGCAUGCACCAAUAAUUUCCCUUCUUUCUAUCAGGCCCUACCUCAUCAAGAUUGCACCAUAUCCCAAUAGCACCAUCAGCUGAUGACCAAGCCUUCAACACAGGGGCCUUUGGGGGCUAUUCCAGAUCCAGAGUGCAAAAGAUAGGGACCAAGCCCUCCACCAAGAGAAAGAAGUUUCCUGUGAAAGGAAAAGAAAAUCUUCAGAGAGAAAGAGACCACCCGUAGAAGAGGAGAAGCAGGCUCCAGCAGGGUACAGAAGUUAGAUCUUACAGGAACUAGACCAAGCCCCUCAAGCAGUGACAACAGGAAAGGUUUCAUCAACACAUUUCAGAGUCAGAAGCAGAUCUUACCUUGACCAGGGUUGUUUAAUUAUGUAUGUCCAUGUCAAAGCCUUUAAAAGGAGACUACUUAAUAAUUAAAUAUGCUACAGUGAUUCUAGUACAAUGAAUGUCCUGUAUAGCUACGACUAGAAAUGGGUAGAGUUGUGUGUCUAAACUGAAAUAUUAUACAAAAGUUGAAAAGCUAAAGGCAUCUGAAUUGGAUAUGUGCAAAGAGACCAGUAACUGCUCUUUCAUUGAUUAGUUGUUUGAGAUAGUUCCUGGUGUACCCAGAUUAGCCUAAACUCAUGGUGUACUCAAGAUAACCUUGAGCUCCUGAUCCUCUUGCCUCAGCUUUGCAGUGCUGGGAUUGCAGGUAUAUGCCACUAUACCCAGCAAACAAAUGCCCUAUUAGAGUUCUCUUUUCUAAACUUUGCAUCACAUAUAACUCUGAACAUGUGAAUUGUCCAGUACAAAUUUUGAUGUUUCUGUGGUCUGUGUACCAUUCUGAUGGAACCCACCAUCAGCCAGCCUGAUAGCUCAACUAGUUCAGAUCUGGCUGCCGUCUAUCGGCAACGGCUCAUUGCACAUUUCAUUGUGAGCUAAGGAACACUUGACAUCAAGAAUAAAACCUGGGCAGCUUGUGCUGUUCCUUACACUUGGCAAUUUGAACAUUAAAAUGUCAUUGACAAGUUAUAUUUUCCUUUAACCAGAAACAAGAAUGUAAAUGUAUGGCUGGGAAGAAAAUGAGGACAACUUGGGAGACCUAGCAUAGCACUGUCAAUCAUAAUCACUUUCUUCAAAUGCUGAAUGCAAUGAAAAUAAAUGUUUUUUUCUGUGGCUGAGGUUUCUGAAAGACUAGCCCUGACUGUCUGAAGUCUUUGUCCUCUAAAGUUUUGAUCCUUGUUUUACAAUUAAAUUAAUGAAAAAUUGUCUUGAGUGGCAUUUUUCAAACUAGCUCUUUAAAUAUCUGUUCUCAUGGUGUUUUAUGAAAAGCUUCCUGACUGUUGUCUGCCGACAUUCUGCAGAACUGCACCUCCUAACAAAUGUAAUCUGAACAGAAUUUAAAAUUUUGUAUUUUAUAUGUAUGAAUGUUUUGUCUUUGUGUAAGUGUGCAUGCAUACCUGGUGCCUACAGGUGGGGGAAGAGGGGGCAGAUCUCAUAGGACUCCAGUCACAGAUGGCUGUGAGCCACCAUGUGUAUGCUGGGAACCAAACUCAGGUCCUCUGCAGGAACAGAAAAGGCACUGAACCACUGAGCUGUUUCCCCAGCCCGGGAAAAGUAUUUUUAAGAUGCUAGGACAUCACCUACACCGCAAACAAAAUGAAUGGGAGAAUGGGCCCCAGGGAAGCCAGGCCUAAGGACCAUUCUUUUCACAUCAGUUACCUGCUUGAAUCCUGUCCUUCCCAAAAGGAUUAUUUAGCACUGACUACUCCUUGGCAACUGCUUCCCUCCCCACAUAGUCUAUAAUGUAGGAUCAGAAAAGCACACGUGGGACAAUCCAGACCAGAUUACAAGGCCACUAACCAGGGUGUUCAACCACAAAGGAAGUACUCCAGUAUACAGAAGGCUGAAACUUGAGAAUCAUGAGUUUGAGGACAGCCUAGGCUACACUAUGAGACCCUGUCCAAAGGUAGCAACAACCAAAAAAAAAAAAUAGAUGAACCCAGGCAGUGGUGGCAUAUGCCUUUAAUCCCAACACUUGGGAGGCAAAGACAAGCAGAUUUCUGAGUUCAAGACCAGCCUGGUCUACAAAGUGAGUUCCAGGACAGCCAGGACAUACAGAGAAACCCUGUCUCGAAAAAAAUCAAAAAAAAAAAAAAAAAAAGUUAAGGAAAAAAUCGAUGAAGUCACUUGUACUUCAUUCAGCACGGUCUGAAGAAGGUUCCCAGGAGAGUUUGUCUAAGUGCACGUCUGCUGACUUGGGCUUCUAACUGUAUUCUGUUCUAGAGUGGUGCUUCUGCUUUUAGGUUUAAACAGCUAACUCUUUCACUUAUAUGCAUCUGUCAUUGUCACCUGUCCCCUUCUUGUGUACUAGUUUAUCACUGGGCUAAAUACCCUGCAAAGCCAGAUGAACUAGCAUCUGAAUCCCCUCAAAACUGUGAUGACUUCAAACACAAGGAGAGUUGAAUGGGCACUUUGAAGGUGCUUAUGCUAAAAAGUAUACAUUCUUGGAUUUGGGCUCUAAUUGCAGGAUAAGGACUUGCCUCCACACCUCCAUGCCCCCAUUCCUCCAUGACCCCAUGGCUCCAUGGCCCCUUGCCUCGAUGCACUCGUGCCCCCAUGCCUACAAACCCUCAUGCCCCCAUGACUCCAUGCCUCCAUGCCCCCUUGCCUUAACGCCCUCAUGCCACCAUACCCUCAUGCCCACAUGCCUACAUGGCUCCAUUCUUUAGAGGGAGACCUGCUCCAUUGCUCUAGCACAGUGGAUCCUGAUGAGAAGAGGCAGACCAUGGUUUUAAGGCGUUUAUUGUAGAAAGGCAUAGAGAGGAAGAGAGUAGGGAAGUAGAGGCUGACCAUGGCCACAUGGAGAGGGAAGGGAAAGGAAUGCAGAGAGAGGGGGAGCAAGAGGGCAAGAGAGAAGCAAGUGGGAAACAAGAGUAAGAAAGAGAGGAGGGGACAAACAACCCCUUUUACAGUGGGCCAGGCCUCUCUGGCUGUUGCCAGGCAACUGUGGGGAGGAACAUACCAGGCUGUUGCCAGGUAACUGGUGGGGCCUCCUGUUGGGAGCCUAGUGUCUGUGAGCGUGGCAAAUGGGUCUUCCAUCUCUUGCAGGAACACCUGCUGGGUCUCUGGGUUUAAACCAAACUCCACCAGAAAACAGAUCUUUCACCAUCCCACUACAUGCACUCUUGCCCCCAUGCCCCAAAGCCACCAUGCCCCAU